UACGUAGGGGGCAAGCGUUGUCCGGAUUUAUUGGGCGUAAAGAGCGUGUAGGCGGCCAAAUAGGUCGGUUGUGAAAACUGGAGGCUUAACCUCCAGACGUCGACCGAAACCAUCUGGCUAGAGUCCGGAAGAGGAGAGUGGAAUUCCUGGUGUAGCGGUGAAAUGCGCAGAUAUCAGGAGGAACACCGGUGGCGAAGGCGGUUCUCUGGGCAUGUCCUGACGCUGAGGAGCGAAAGUGUGGGGAGCGAACAGG
rnacentral:rRNA from 1 species